rnacentral:lncRNA from 1 species
UUUAGAUCCAUAUUCUUAUAGUUGAUACCGAUUGUUGUUUUGAUCUUCGAUGGUGAUAUGUCUGUAAGGAGAAUUAUGAUGAACAGGGUGAAGCUGUGAACCUUGACUACGUCUCCAUCACUUAUUUAUAGUCUCAAAAAUUAGGGAGUUUAAGAGCUGCGGAGAAGGAGUCACUAAAUUGAACGUAGUGGGGGGGGAGCUGGCCGUAGGGAGCAAAUGAAAAGAAUUAAUGAAAGGUUUGAAUGAGGAGGGUUACGAACGUUACAGAGGCGUUACAACAUCUGCGAUGCAAAAGACGGGAUUGAAGAAGACGAAGUCAUUGAAAGAGACAUGGG